rnacentral:lncRNA from 7 species
GGGAGAUGUGGCCUCAAGUGGCGGGAUGCCAUUGACCUCGAUCCAUCCCCCUCAACAUGUGCGUCCGCAGCCUAGCUAUAUACACCAUCUCGCCCUCCAGGCCCAUCAUCACCCCCAGCACCCACCCCACCUGCCCACUUCGUCUUCCUCCUCUCUGUCACCUCGCCACCCUUCUUCUUGCGUUCUCCAUCGCAUUGCAUCUGUAGCACGCAGUUCUCCCUGGUCUUCUUCCGCACGCGUCUCUCCCCGUUCUGCCAGUCCUAGUUGAACCAGAGAGGCUGUUCUUGUGCGUGUGAGAGAGAGAGCUGGACACCGUCGCCCCACCCAUUACGCCGUAGCCAAACCUGGAGAAAAACCUGUGAAGCAUGUAACUCCAGUCCCUGUCCAAAAUCCAAACCCAAGCCCCCCAAAAAAAAUCACAAAAAAAAAAACACCUUCAAGAUCGUUCUCCAAAAGCUAGCACCGGUAAUCAGCGGCGAGGCGUAAGUCGGUAGGCUGGAUACGCCCCCACUAAUUCCUUAGCACAAAAUCAACAAAAGCCUCCGGAUCAUGUAAGUUUCGCCACCAUCAUCUUUGCUCGCCGCCCAGCUAAAAAAACAAAAAAAAAAUAAGAAACCCAGCAGCAUGCAUCGUCAUUAGUAGCCAUCAGUCGUAGCCUAUCGAUCGUCCUGGGAGCCAUCCCAGCAUUAUCGUAGCAUUACCUCAGCAAAAACCAUCAAAUCAUGUAAUUAGUGUGCUCCCGCGUCCUAUUUCUGCUGCACUGCCGGCAGUCG